GGAAAACCAAGUGAAGGAUGGUGGAGAUCCUGCCAAUCCAUGGGAACUGGCAAAAAUUCCUGGAAAAACUUCGGACUUUCAAGACCACGGAUCUGGUGUGGUCACACCUGGGGUUUCUAAAGCCUGAAGAGUUAUGCAGGUGAUGUUUGGGUUACAUGAGGAUUAACAUCAGUGGAAUAACUAGAAUGUUCUUCCGAAGUGUAGAAUCCUUCGAGUCUGCUCCAUUGUUCGGUGGUGCCGGCGUGGAGUUAAAUCGGCGGCGUCCAGCUGCCCACGGCCACAGUGUGCUUCAGAUGACGGAGGACCCCGGCUUCCUCCGAGGGACCUAGACCUCGUGGCGGACUUAAGCUGGAGUCCAUGCUUUCGUGCAACGCUGAGUCCAUUUUCUACUUCUUGGAUUCCAGCCAGGAAGCUCCUGAGGUUUCAAACCAACACAGAGAGAU